CCCAAAUUAUGUUUUAUAGUUCGUCGUUGAGUUUUGUUAGUUAAUCCUAAGGGUUUUGCCAUGCGUAUCAGGUGGACAGGCCGCCUCACCCCUUCACAAUAGGUGAGCUGGGAAUGGAGUCUCAAUCUCUGCUUAUAAAUGGCAAAACUGUAACCCUAUAAACCCAACGAGGACGGGCAAAAGGCGAAGCCCUCCACGCGGGCACAAAAAAAACACUAAAUUCAUUCGGUCUACGAAAUUUUCAGUGAAUGGGGAGAUGGAGAGCUUCUUUCCUCUUUUACCGUGUUAUAGCUGCAUCUAAAUCGACUAAUCCAAAUUUUCGCCCAAACCCACCUCUUAGAUCUUCAGUUUCUGCGCAGCCCAGAAAUCAAUUCUUGAAUUUCAGGUCUUUUUCUGCGUUCUCAUCUCCAUCCCCGUUCUAUGCUGAAGAUUUCGAUUAUAAGACCCCCAACUUUGAUCAGAAUCAGAAUUUGGAGGAGUCCAAGGGAAAUGAGGACGCCGGAAAAAUCUCAGUGAAAGCCUUUUUCCUUUGCACCAGGUUCGUUUUUUUUCUCUUUUCCUUUUUUUGUAUAUAAAUUACGUAUUAAUUCUCGGUUCUCUUCUAUUUUAGUUAUGGGGUGUAUGGUUGUAUAAAAUAUUGAAUAUAUAUUAAUUCUGUUGAAAAUUUUCUGUUUAAGUUCUUCAAAAUUGAUGUAAUA
rnacentral:lncRNA from 1 species